rfam:Trichuris trichiura, WGS project CBXK01000000 data, contig: TTRE_1932
GCCUCCAUUGCUCAGUAGGGACAGCGUUAGACUGAAGAUCUAAAUGCCACCGGUUGAAUCCGGGCUCAAGGCA